rnacentral:rRNA from 1 species
GAUGAACGCUGGCGGCGCGCCUAACACAUGCAAGUCGAACGAUUAAAGCACCUUCGGGUGUGUAUAAAGUGGCGAACGGCUGAGUAACACGUGGGCAACCUGCCCCUCUCAUUGGGAUAGCCACGGGAAACCGUGGAUAAUACCGAAUACUUCGGGACUUCCGCAUGGAAGACUCGAGAAAGCUCCGGCGGAGAGGGAUGGGCCCGCGGCCUGUUAGCUUGUUGGUGGGGUAACGGCCUACCAAGGCAAUGAUGGGUAGCUGGGUUGAGAGACCGACCAGCCAGAUUGGGACUGAGACACGGCCCAGACUCCUACGGGAGGCAGCAGUGGGGAAUCUUGCACAAUGGGCGAAAGCCUGAUGCAGCGACGCCGCGUGCGGGAUGAAGGCCUUCGGGUUGUAAACCGCUUUCAGCAGGGACGAGGCGAAAGUGACGGUACCUGCAGAAGAAGCCCCGGCUAACUACAUGCCAGCAGCCGCGGUAAUACGUAGGGGGCAAGCGUUAUCCGGAUUCAUUGGGCGUAAAGCGCUCGUAGGCGGUCUGUUAGGUCGGGAGUUAAAUCCGGGGGCUCAACCCCCGUUCGCUCCCGAUACCGGCAGACUUGAGUUUGGUAGGGGAAGGUGGAAUUCCUAGUGUAGCGGUGGAAUGCGCAGAUAUUAGGAAGAACACCAGUGGCGAAGGCGGCCUUCUGGGCCAUAACUGACGCUGAGGAGCGAAAGCUAGGGGAGCAAACAGG